rnacentral:rRNA from 1 species
GACGAACGCUGGCGGCGUGCCUAAUACAUGCAAGUCGAGCGCACCGGCGGAUGGGUGAGUAACGCGUGGGUCACCUGCCCUUAAGUCUGGGAUACCAUUUGGAAACAGAUGCUACUACCGGAUACUACAGGAUGGACCUGCGAUGCAUUAGCUAGUUGGUAAGGUAACGGCUUACCAAGGCGAUGAUGCAUAGCCGAGUUGAGAGAGUGAUCGGCCACAUGGGGACUGAGACACGGCCCAAACUCCUACGGGAGGCAGCAGUAGGGAAUCUUCCACAAUGGACGAAAGUCUGAUGGAGCAACGCCGCGUGAGUGAAGAAGGUUUUCGGAUCGUAAAGCUCUGUUGUUGGUGAAGCGGUAAUCAACCAGAAAGCCACGGCUAACUACGUGCCAGCAGCCGCGGUAAUAC